GACGGAGGAUGCAAGUGUUAUCCGGAAUCACUGGGCGUAAAGCGUCUGUAGGUGGUUUAAUAAGUCAACUGUUAAAUCUUGAGGCUCAACCUCAAAAUCGCAGUCGAAACUAUUAGGCUAGAGUAUAGUAGGGGUAAAGGGAAUUUCCAGUGGAGCGGUGAAAUGCGUAGAGAUUGGAAAGAACACCGAUGGCGAAGGCACUUUACUGGGCUAUUACUAACACUCAGAGACGAAAAGCUAGGGUAGCAA
rnacentral:rRNA from 1 species